GUAAAUUGUGGGUGGCCACAAUGUGACUGUUUAGUAAAUUAACUUAGUGAUAGUUUUAGCCCAAACUUCAAUCCAAACAUUAUCCAAGUCUCUUAAAUUGAAUUAAUGACAUUAAUGUUGUUUUUUUUUUUUUUCAAAAAGUCAUAGAAAACAAAGUUAUUUUAAUGACGUGAAAUAUCUCAAUUUUUCACGUCAUUACAUUUACCCGAGUGGAAAUGUCAAGGUGUAAAAUCUGUUUGCCGAUAGGAUUCUGGCUAAAAUUGUCACUAAUUAAAUUAAUUUAUGAAACUUGAAUAAUGUAUUAAUUGGAGUUACUACUAAAAUAAUGAAAGUCAAUUUAUGAAAUUAUGAGGCUAAUGGAUGUAUUUUUCCUUCCAAAAAAAAGCAAUAAUAAGUUAGCAUAGAUAGAGGAAUAUGAAAAACUCAAUUGAAAGUUCGAGUUUCAUAUAUAUUCGCAAAGUUGUGAGUUUUGAUUAUAAUCCUCUUUCUUUCUUACGCAGUAUGUAGCUGUAUAUAACUAACUUAAUAACCAACACAUUUGGCUGUAUUCUAUUAUGCUAGGACAAAUAGGUGAAGUCCUGAUCAAACGAUAGAAUUGAAGGUUGAUAUUUGUUAUUAAUGACGUGACUGCGAUGUUUAAUUAUGUAUGGUUGCUUAUGUAGGUAAGCAAAUAUUUUUGUUUCAUUAUUGUAAGUCAAAUUUUCCCAACUAAUUCUAAUCUCUCAGAGCGUAUGCUUUGCUAUCUUAGGGUGUUUGAACUUUAUUUAUCAUUAAAUCGAGCAAAUCAUGUGGCCAUGUUAUACUUCCUUUAUCCAGAAAAUGAAGAUUUUAAAUACAAGUAACUCAUGAAUUAAAGAAAUAUAAUUUCUCUAAAAAUAAAUAAAGAGAAUAUAUGAAUUGUUACCGAAAGUCCCAAGGUACAGAUAUUUAUUGCCGAAGACCCUUCCAAUUCGAGCUUCCCAUCUUCCAUUGUGAUGGUGUCUG
rnacentral:lncRNA from 1 species